UUUUUGUGGAAAAAAGUUUUUGUUUAAAUUAUUAAAAACUAAAUAUCAAACACGCAUAAUAAAUAAAGCUUUAGUUAAAAAAGCUGUUAACUUAUGAAACUCACCUCGCAGUGCUCUCUCACUUUUGGUGGUUUAACGGUAACAUUCCUCUACAAUAGGAAUGUUUGUUUUGCAAAGCUGCUUGUGUGUGUUGAGAUUUACAACAAAUCUGUGUUGGAAUUAUAAAAAUGUGUCUUCAGUCCGAGAUCGACCAACAAACCUGACGAAUGUUUUGAAAUAAAAGCGGUGCAUUAAAUGUUGUUUUUAAAUUUUUUUAAUUUUGGCGCAGAGUGGGUUAAACCAACAAUAAUUUAAACAAAAGCUAAGAAAAAAGUGGCAAAUUUUAUG